AAUCAACGCUGGCGGCGUGCCUCAGACAUGCAAGUCGAACGAUUAAAGCUCUCUUCGGAGAGUGUAUAGAGUGGCGCACGGGUGAGUAACACGUAAGUAAUCUACCUUUGGAGUGGGGAAUAACAGUCGGAAACGACUGCUAAUACCGCAUAAUGCAGCGGCAUCGCAAGAUGACAGUUGUUAAAGGAGCAAUCCGCUUAAAGAGGAGCUUGCGGCAGAUUAGCUUGUUGGUAAGGUAACGGCUUACCAAGGCUACGAUCUGUAUCCGGUCUAAGAGGACGGUCGGACACACUGACACUGAAGUAACGGGUCAGACUCCUACGGGAGGCAGCAGUCGGGAAUUUUGGGCAAUGGGCGAAAGCC
rnacentral:rRNA from 1 species